rnacentral:lncRNA from 1 species
ACUAUCCCCAACUCCCCACUUCUGCCCCAAGGGUGGUCACUGCCUGUGAUACAUUCCUCAGUGUCGCCUCUGAGCCCAGGCCUCCUGCCACAAAGACUGGGCCGAGAGAUGGGGCUGGAAAGAGAAAAUGAAUAAAAAUGAUGACUUCAAGUGUGUCCCCAGCCAGUGUGUCAGGCCCGAGGCUCUUCUGGGCAGGAGUCCCGGGCUGCAGGGACCCCAGGGUCAAAGGCUCCACUGGUAUGUGCGGCAGCAGCCCCUCCCGUGGCACUCUGAGGAUAGCGCCUUCCCUCCAUCCUAUCCUUGGCAAACUGACUGCUGCAGCCUGCUGCUGUCCCUGACCCCUCUCCUGCCAUUGAUCCCACCUCCCCCAGAGCUGACACUGCCUCGCCUUGUGAUGCUGGCCAGAAGGCUGGGCUCCCCUUGUGGUUUUCCCCAGCUCCCUGC